rnacentral:rRNA from 1 species
GAUGAACGCUGGCGGCGUGCCUAAUACAUGCAAGUCGAGCGAAUGGAUUAAGAGCUUGCUCUUAUGAAGUUAGCGGCGGACGGGUGAGUAACACGUGGGUAACCUGCCCAUAAGACUGGGAUAACUCCGGGAAACCGGGGCUAAUACCGGAUAACAUUUUGAACCGCAUGGUUCGAAAUUGAAAGGCGGCUUCGGCUGUCACUUAUGGAUGGACCCGCGUCGCAUUAGCUAGUUGGUGAGGUAACGGGUCACCAAGGCAACGAUGCGUAGCCGGCGUGAGAGGGUGAGCGGCCAAAAGGGGAGUGAGACACGGCCCAGACUCCUACGGGGGGCAGCAGUAGGGAAUCUUCCGCAAUGGGCGAAAGUCUGACGGAGCAACGCCGCGUGAGUGAUGAAGGCUUUCGGGUCGUAAAACUCUGUUGUUAGGGAAGAACAAGUGCUAGUUGAAUAAGCUGGCACCUUGACGGUACCUAACCAGAAAGCCACGGAUAACUACGUGCCAGCCGCCGCAGUAA